UCGACACUUUGUCAACUGGUUUGAUCUGGAUGGCGCGCUUUGGUCACGGCCACAUGUUUUUCCCACAGGUGCUUGCGCUUAGUAAUUACAUCGUUCUUUGUCUAAUAUCUUUCUUCGUUGAAUAUGUAUGUGAUAUUAUGUCCUGAUGUGUUGAAAUGUAUUUUCUAUUUGCUAGUGAUAUUGAAACGAGUGAAGUAUUGAUUAGGCUAUUGAGUGAGAUAUUUAUUUAAAUUGAGGAAAUACCUGUUUAUGUGUAUUUUGGAUUAUCCCAGUGUUAAGGGUUGUGCUAUUUUUUUUUACUUUAUUAGCCUCAGGUGGCUCAUUUUCGGGAAAACUUAGGCUGGAGUGGCAUGUUGUCCUAGCUGGGGCUCUGCUCAACUCAGCUGUGUGAGGAAUUGUUGGCACUCUGCCUGCCUAAAAAGAGGCUAACUUUCUGCACCUGUACAUAAAUUCCACCAUGUUGGGCAUUUUGCCCCUGAUUCCGCCGGACUCCUUCACAACCCCCUGACAAGACGGUUAGUGCUAUCGGGGAACCCUGGGACGUCCCUAACCCGUACUUUCACCAUUUUUAAAUGUAAACUUCAAUGAGUUGCUAUUCAGAAAAACUUAGCCUACCGUAUUUAUUAUGAAUUCAAAUGAAUAUAACACGUAUCAUAUAUAAUGAAGAUUAUUUCAAUAGAUACCGGCGCGGGAUUAGAAUUUAUACAAUUAAUCAUGUGAUUAUUGUCAUUAUAAAAUCAGUAUGCGUGGGAUAUAUUUUGUACUAUUGACCAAUCAGUUUGAAAGUAAACAGAUAUGGACGCAUCAAGGGGCGGCGCUGUUUAACGUGCAGGAAAUCCCAAAGCACAUGCGACACGAACACAGCAACAAAAAAAAACGCUCAUGACGUCUGUGGAUCACAUGAAGGAGGACAAGUGAAAAGAAAGUCCAGGAGGAUCAAAGGAAAGAAUGGAGGAGAAGGUUACAAGUGACAGUGAAGAGGAAGGGGAAGAUUACUACAGAACAGAGGGAGAACGGAUGAAGAAAGCAAAAGCCGCCAUUGUGUCAAUAUUAUCAGCAAGAGAGGAGAAAACAGAGAGGAGUAAGGCGGCGAUGGACAGAAAGGAACAAGAGAUGGAGAGGAUGAAGGAAAAGUGGGAGAAGUUACACAAAAGUGAGGAGAUGGUCUUGGAGGGAUUGGAAGUGGUCAGAGAAGAGAGCGAGCAGUUAAAGGAAGAGAGAGAGCGGAUUCAGACGGAGAACAUUCAAAAGGAGAAAAAAGGCAGAUUGCGAGAGGAAGCGAUGAUCUGAGGAGACCAAGAGUGCAGGCGGUGUCGUACAAGCAGACGUUGGAGAAAGAGGGAGAGGUGUUCAGGGAGGGGAGGUUGGAGAUGAAGGAGCUAAUGGAGAUGCUACUUGAAAAGGAGGAGAUGCUCAAGGAGAGAGAGAUUAGUUUAAAGAAAAGAGAAAGAUGGAGGAGAAAAAGAUGAAGAAGGAAAGGAAGGUCAUUGACUUGGCACGUAUGUUUAUGAGUGAAGUGUUAAAGGCCAUUGAAAAACAGCGGAAGAAGAGAGAAAAAGAAAGGGGGCCAUUGAGGAGAGAGAUAGAAAGGAUGCUUAAAGAGAAGGAGACAAUAAAGGAGAGGAGCUAGGAGGAAGGAGGAAGAGGGGCAAGAGGAGGAGAGGGCGAGGAGGAGAGCGAUGCGAGUUAGUCGUCACUCAUUCUACUGAAUCGCAACAUAAAAAUAUGACUUACUGUCACAUUCGUCGUAUGGAGUAGACCAAGGCGCAGCGGGAAUGUGUAUGCUCAUCUUCUUUAUUAUGAAGAAAAACCAAAACAAACACUUAAUCAAAACAACGACGAGAAAACAGUCCUGUGAGGCACACAGCUACACUUACGGAACAACAACCCAGAAAAACCCAUAGAAAAACACCCCUACUAAAUAGGACCUUCAAUUAGAGGCAACGAGGAACAGCUGCCUCCAAUUGAAGGUCAACCCAAUAAACUAAACAUAAAAAUAGAAAGACUAGAACGAACAUAGAAAUAACUAACAUAGAACAUUAACCAAAAACCCCGAAACACAUAAAACAAACACCCCCUGCCACGUCCUCACCAAACUACAAUAACAAAUAACCCCUUUACUGGUUAGGACGUGACACUUACAGCAUUAAACGAACGCAGCAUGAAAUUCCUUAACCUUCCACUAGUUCAAUGUUAAGUUAACAGUAGAUUCUUAUCAUCAAGAAAUGAUACUUUAUUAUUGUGGACUGAACUAUAGCAUGCUAGUUGCUAUCCCUGUUUUCUGAGAUAUGCUUGCCUGGAACUAUAAUGCUUCAGAGAUAUAGUUUCCUGGAAUUUGAGGACUUCCAAUGGCGGCCUUUGUUAUUGGUUGAGGUGUAUAAAAGCAUAGUGGUGAAAGGCUGUACCAUAAGCUACAUUCUACAGAGUUACAGAAGAGAGAGGUGUGAGGACUCUGUGGCUGGUACAGACCGUGUGGGUCAGGUGGGGUGAGGGUAGGGAGUGCAUUGUAUUAAAUCACUGCUCUGAGUUGCCCUUAAUUAAGAUCUAGAAUUACUUUACGCUCCCUUAAUUCAGUAUUUGCUAGCACGUAUUACAGUGCACAAGACUGACCUUAGAUUAGCAAAUGACUAUAGAGAGCAGUGUUUACCAGGACUUAAUUAUUAGGAGUGGCACUAUGUGGAUACUUCCACCUGCACCUUAAAAUAGAAAUGUUGCUUAUAGCCCAGAAAUUAUUCAUAGUGUGGGUAUCCAGUUAUGUCUUCCCAAAAUGGGCGUCAACAUGUCUACAGGCCAAACACUCCAAUAGGAGGUCGAUAGUCAAGUUUAGGAACGCUUCAAAUUGAUCUUUUCAGGUGAUGCGGUAUGUAGGCUAUACACUGAACAUUCGUUAUUUAGUGUGUCCAGUUGAAUGGAUUCAGCACUUACUUAUAACUGAAAAGGUUUGAGAUAUGAAGCAAGCUAUUUUGCUCAUUUGUGGCUUAUGAGGCUGUGCUGUAAUACUAUAAUAUCUGCUGUAAUACUGCAAGAUUCCAGUUGUAUGUGGUACAUUAAUAUGAAAACCCCCUUAAAACUGGGUUAAACCAUUUAAUGGUUUAAUUUCCCCUUCAAAGUCAUAUUUUGGCUAUCUUUAAGAUGAUCUCAUGGGGUUAAAUCAUUGAGUAAUGUGUUCCUAUAUUUGCAUCAAUCCCCCAUAGACUACAUAUCCUAAACCCACAUUAACUAUGGCCAAAACUCCAGACCGUUCACUUCAUACAUUAUUAAUGACUUUAGAAGACAUCCAAUUACAGUGUGUGCUCUUGGAGUAGAGGGGCCAGAGGACUAACAUUAACUGUGGUUUUUCACAAUAAAGCUUACAGAUAAACUUCUUUGAUAUGGAUGCACUGGGGAACUGGGAGAGAGUCAAAUCAAUAGCAGUGCAGUGCAGAGGAAUUUAUCAUUCAGCAAUUACAACCAAACCAUACAUUCCCACUCUUUUGGUUUAUGCCAAGUGUCUGGAGGGAAUGUUUCUACUGUCAGUAGGAGGAGAGAGGGAAGAGAGAAGAGAGAGAGAGAGACUUCUAGGAUCUGUGGGGGGUAAACAUCUCUGAGUGCUAUAGGGAGAUAUAUUUGAGAAAUGUGUUUUGUUGAGUUCUCAUGCAGCCCAACCUCUCUUAAUGCUAUUCUCUUAAGGCAGCUUAGUAAGGGGAUAGCAGAAUAAUAUUUGGUGCCUAUAUGGAAUUACCCUGUGAGACUUUGGGGAAUAAUCUACUACCAAUAUUUGUUUUUUGAAAGGGGGAAGAUUUUUUAUUUGAAUGCCGGUUUCACGGUUUUUCAGUUGUAAUCAGAACAAUUUCAAUGGCUUUAUUCUUUUGAGCUUAUUUUCAACUUUAACAACCUCCUUUCAUUGCCUUCAGGGUCUGCACAGUGGGGCAAAACGGACCUGUGAACUUUAGGCAUGAAAUUAGACUGAUGAGUUUAAGUUCUUCACAGCAAGUCCUUCACAGCCCCUUGCUGUAUUUCUGGUAUAUAUUGCCAUAUGUAGCGUUGGCUAUAAUUAAAAGAUACAUGCAAAUAGUAGAAAUAUACAGUUUUAUUAGUUUGUGUUAUUCUGUAAAAGUUGUAAAAGGUUUAGUUCACUAUUGUACAACUUGAUUUUAAAUGGUUCCUCACCCUGAAAGUAGUCUAUGGGCCAAGAGAAUCUAUAAUUCAUGGAUAAGUU